AAAAAUUUAUUAUAUAGAUAAAUGUUUAUAGUUUUAAUAAUUUAUUUAAAAUUUAUUUUACAUAUGAAUUUUAGUGUUAUUUUUAAAUUAUUUUAAAAAUAAAUUAAUUAUUUUAUAGUAAUUAAUAUUAAAUUAUUUAAGAAAUUAAGAUUUAGUAAUAUUUAAAUUAAUAACAAAUUUUGUGCCAGCAGUUGCGGUUAAACAAAAGUUAAAUUGAAUUUUAUUAGUUAUUAAUAAAUAAAUUAAAUAUUAAUUUAAAUUUUAAAUUAUUAAGUGAAAUUUUAAUUUGAUGUAAUAUUAUUAAAAAUUUAUGAUUUAAUAAAAUUUAUUAAAAAACUAGGAUUAGAUACCCUACUAUUAAAAUUUUAAAUUUAAAUACUAAAAUAUUAAGUGAUUAUUCAUUGAAACUUAAAUAAUUUGGCGGUAUUUUAGUUCAUUUAGAGGAAUCUGUUUAAUAAUUGAUAACCCACGAAUAAAUUUACUUAAUUUUUAAUUUUGUAUAUCGUUGUUAUAUAAAUAUUUUUAAAUAGAAAUAAUAUUUAAGAUUUUACAUUAAAAAUUAAAUCAGAUCAAGAUGCAGAUUAUAAUUAAGAAUAUAAUGGAUUACAAUAAAUUUAUUUAUUUGGAUGUUAGUUUGAAAAAUUUAAUUAAAAUUGGAUUUAAAUGUAAUUUUAUUUAAUUUAAUAAAAUGAUUAUAAAUUGAAAUAUGUACAUAUUGCCCGUCGCUUUCACAUAUUAGGAUUAUAGUUAUAUAAUACAUUAAUAAAUUGAAAUAAGUCGUAACAAAGUAGAGGUACUGGAAAGUG
rnacentral:rRNA from 1 species